GCUGGGUGGGGAGGAGAGAGGGACAGAGAGCCUGCUUGCUUUAAAGGAACCAACCGGACAGGGGCCGCUUACACUCGUGCUCCUCUCCCGCUUUGCUCCUUUAAAGAAGCAGGCGCUCUGUCCCUCUCUCCUCCCCACUCAGC